AUGAGUAAGGGUCUUCUAGGCCCGAUCUCCAACCCUUUGUAUAACUACCAUGUUGCUUUGGCGGGCCCGUCUUUAACCGGACCGCCGAGGGUUUUAAUCCUUGGCCAGUGCUCGUCAGUAGCCCACUUAAAUUCUUUUUAACCAUGUUAAAUCUGAAAAAUAGUUAAAUAAACUA
rnacentral:misc_RNA from 1 species